GUGAAUUUUAGGGCGUCGUUUUUAACAACGAGCCUGACCUCCACUUCUAACACUGUGCACUUUGCUUUGGCGCUGAUUACCGAGACUUGGUUUCUAACGAGACCUUGACUCAACUUGAAGCCCUUAGUCUUUUUUUACUUUAAACUUGAAGUCAAAGUAUGUAAUAAGUUUAUAAAACAAAAAAA
rnacentral:misc_RNA from 1 species